CAGCCGCCGCGGUAAUACGAGGGGGGCAAGCGUUGUUCGGAAUUAUUGGGCAUAAAGGGUGCGUAGGCGGUUUGACAAGUCAUCUGUGAAAUCUAUGGGCUCAACCCAUAGUCUGCAUGGGAAACUGCGAGGCUUGAGGAUGGGAGAGGUGAGUGGAAUUUCCGGUGUAGCGGUGAAAUGCGUAGAUAUCGGAAGGAACACCUGUGGCGAAAGCGGCUCACUGGACCAUUUCUGACGCUGAUGCACGAAAGCUAGGGGAGCAAACAGGAUUAGAUACCCGCGUAGUCCCUGUCUCUUAUAU
rnacentral:rRNA from 1 species